rnacentral:rRNA from 1 species
GAUGAACGCUAGCGGCAGGCUUAACACAUGCAAGUCGAACGGCAGCACGGGAGCAAUCCUGGUGGCGAGUGGCGAACGGGUGAGUAAUAUAUCGGAACGUGCCCGGUCGUGGGGGAUAACGUAGCGAAAGCUACGCUAAUACCGCAUACGAUCUACGGAUGAAAGCGGGGAUCGCAAGACCUCGCGCGAUUGGAGCGGCCGAUAUCAGAUUAGGUAGUUGGUGAGGUAAAGGCGUCACCAAGCCGACGAUCUGUAGCUGGUCUUGAGAGGACGACCAGCCACACUGGAACUGAGACACGGUCCAGACUCCUACGGGAGGCAGCAGUGGGGAAUUUUGGACAAGUGGACGCAAGUCUGAUCCAGCCAUUCGCGUGCAGGAUGAAGG